AGGAGAAUAAUGUAUUAAGAAGAGCUGCUAACUACUUCUUAAAGCGGUUAAAUUCCGUUUUUCUCCUA
rnacentral:tRNA from 1 species